UGUAUGCUAGACAGUUUAACUGGGGCGGUUACCUCCUAAAAAGUAACGGAGGUGUACUAAGGUAAACUCAGAUAAUUUUCAUUAUUUUAGAGCGUAAUGGCAUAUGUUUGCUUGACUGUAAGACUGAUAGGUCGAACAGAGAUGAAAAUCGGUCAUAGUGAUCCGGUGGUUCUUCGCGGAAAGACCAUCGCUCAACAGAUAAAAAGUACGUUGGGGAUAACAGGCUGAUGUCCUUUUAGAGUUCUUAUCGACAAGGACGUUUGGCACCUCGAUGUCGACUCAUCACAUCCUGAGGCUGAAGAAGGUCUCAAGGGUUCGUCUGUUCGCCGAAUAAUGUGGUACGUGAGUUGGGUUUAGAACGUUGUGA
rnacentral:rRNA from 1 species